UACAGAGGUCCCAAGCGUUGUUCGGAUUCACUGGGCGUAAAGGGCGUGUAGGUGGCGCCGUAAGUCGGGUGUGAAAUUUCGGAGCUUAACUCCGAAACUGCAUUCGAUACUGCGGUGCUUGAGGACUGGAGAGGAGACUGGAAUUCAUGGUGUAGCAGUGAAAUGCGUAGAGAUCAUGAGGAAGACCAGUGGCGAAGGCGGGUCUCUGGACAGUUCCUGACACUGAGACACGAAGGCCAGGGGAGCAAACGGG
rnacentral:rRNA from 1 species